UUGUGCUACCAUUGAUGCCUCAAAUCAUUGAGUUAUCUUCACAGUUGCCGACCUAAAUACUGAGCUGAGAUAUGUGGAGCAGACCCAUUUUUAUCCAGUCAGUUGUGCGGUCUAUCCGGCAUGUGAGCUCCCGCCAUUGUCUUGGCCAGCCAGUUUCCUAGCACGUGUAGCAGCUGUCCAUCCUAUUGAUAAACUCGGAU
rnacentral:lncRNA from 1 species